rnacentral:lncRNA from 1 species
CAGGAUCCCUCAGGAGCGCUCACAGGACCCAGGAUGCUGUGGAGGCCCCCAAGCAUGGAGAGAUGAUGGGUCCCCGAUGUCUGCAUCAAACUGUCAGAGGAAACGAGUUUGUGGGUCACUGACCCCAUGCUUGGGGAGAAACUUUGAGAUUAUUCUCCAUAACGAGUCCCACUAGCAACUUGAUCAUGUGCAAACUCUUCAGAGAAAUCUGCUAGCCUGAUGCUCCUGUGCC